AGCGAACGCUGGCGGCAGGCUUAACACAUGCAAGUCGAACGGGCACUUCGGUGUCAGUGGCAGACGGGUGAGUAACACGUGGGAACGUACCUCUUGGUUCGGAACAACACAGGGAAACUUGUGCUAAUACCGGAUAAGCCCUUACGGGGAAAGAUUUAUCGCCGAGAGAUCGGCCCGCGUCUGAUUGGCUAGUUGGUAGGGUAAUGGCCUACCAAGGCGACGAUCAGUAGCUGGUCUGAGAGGAUGAUCAGCCACAUUGGGACUGAGACAAGGCCCAAACUCCUACGGGAGGCAGCAGUGGGGAAUAUUGGACAAUGGGGGCAACCCUGAUCCAGCCAUGCCGCGUGAGUGAUGAAGGCCCUAGGGUUGUAAAGCUCUUUUGUGCGGGAAGAUAAUGACGGUACCGCAAGAAUAAGCCCCGGCUAACUUCGUGCCAGCCGCCGCCGCGGUAA
rnacentral:rRNA from 1 species